AUUUGUUUAACUAUGGCAAUAGGAAGUUAUGUAACAUUAAUUGCAUAAAGUUGUUUUAUUAUGAUUGGUUAUAGAACUAUUUUAAUUUUAUUAGCAGUUAGUUUUUUAUUAGGAUCAAUGUCUUUUAAGAGUGUUAUGUAAGAAGGGGAUAGGACACAGUGCCAGCAUCCGCGGUUAGUCUGUUUUCUUUGCUUUCUUAUAGAAUUUGUUUGGAUAAUUAAUUUGAAGGUUUGGUGAAAUUUUCUUUUUUUUGUAUUUGUUGUUCAUAUUUAGAGUGAAUAUUAAUUUAGUGACAGGGAUUAGAUACCCCAUUAAUUUAAUUUUUAAAUUUUCUUAGUUUUUUAACUAAAAUAGUUUGGCAGCGAGUGAAUCCUAUUAGGGGAAGGUGUGUUUUAAAGGAUGGUCCGCCUAUUAAUUUACUUUUAUUAUGUUGGUGUAUAUCUGGUUUGAUAUUAUUGUUUAGUAGCUUAAUUUGUGUAUUUGAUAUUUAAGCCAAGUCUAUGUGCUGCUUGUAAAAGAUUUCAUGCGUUACAUUUAUAGUAUAUUCAUCAUGUGAAUAGAUGUAAAUUUAGGACUUAAAAGUAAUAUAGAAUUAGUUUGUCUAUGUGAAAUGGGUUUAGCUUGGGUACACACCGCCCGUCACCCUCGAUAAUUGUUGAGGUAAGUCGUAACAUGGUAACCCUAAAUGAAUUUAGGGUUAAUUAUUAAUUGUUUUAUCAAUUAGUGUCA
rnacentral:rRNA from 1 species